UACAACUUUCAACAACGGAUCUCUUGGCUCUCGCAUCGAUGAAGAACGCAGCGAAAUGCGAUAAGUAAUGUGAAUUGCAGAAUUCAGUGAAUCAUCGAAUCUUUGAACGCACCUUGCACCCUUUGGUAUUCCGAAGGGUAUGCCUGUUUGAGUGUCAUUAAAUUCUCAAC
rnacentral:rRNA from 3 species